UACGGAGGGCGCAAGCGUUGAUCGGAAUUACUGGGCGUAAAGCGCGGGCAGGUGGUCUGACAAGUCGUUUGUGAAAAUCCGGGGCUCAACCCCGUGAAAUGCGUACGGUACUGGCAGGCUGGAGAUCAGUAGAGGAUAGCGGAAUUCCUGGUGUAGCGGUGGAAUGCGUAGAUAUCAGGAAGAACACCCGUGGCGAAGGCGGCUAGCUGGGCCGAGUCUGACACUGAUCCGCGAAAGCGUGGGGAGCAAACAGG
rnacentral:misc_RNA from 1 species